rnacentral:rRNA from 1 species
AUUGAACGCUGGCGGCAUGCCUUACACAUGCAAGUCGAACGGUAACAGGUUAAGCUGACGAGUGGCGAACGGGUGAGUAAUGUAUCGGAACGUGCCCAGUCGUGGGGGAUAACUACUCGAAAGAGUGGCUAAUACCGCAUACGACCUGAGGGUGAAAGCGGGGGACCGUAAGGCCUCGGGCGAUUGGAGCGGCCGAUAUCAGAUUAGCUAGUUGGUGGGGUAAGAGCCCACCAAGGCGACGAUCUGUAGCUGGUCUGAGAGGACGACCAGCCACACUGGGACUGAGACACGGCCCAGACUCCUACGGGAGGCAGCAGUGGGGAAUUCUGGACAAUGGACGCAAGUCUGAUCCAGCCAUGCCGCGUGCGGGAAGAAGGCCUUCGGGUUGUAAACCGCUUUUGUCAGGGAAGAAACGAGUUUCUCUAAUACAGAGACUUAAUGACGGUACCUGAAGAAUAAGCACCGGCUAACUACGUGCCAGCCGCCGCCGUAACAC